AACACCCAGAGGAAACUCCACUCCCAGGUGACCUGAAAUGCCCAGGAUCAGAGGUCCGUAUCUAACCUCCGGCUGAAGUGAACACAGACCCGAGUGGAGCUGCGGCUGGUUCCACUCAGAUGGCGCCUGGGCGUGGGACUCAGAUGCGGAGGAAAUAGAUAGAGGACACACUGUCUCUGACUAAAUAAAAAAGGAAAAGAAGAAAAGGAUGUAUGCCAUUCCACACGACAGGAACAUGCUGUCCUCUGAGAGGCUCCACCCAG